GUUAAGGAAAGCAAGGAGGGAAAAGACAGUUGUGAGAUUUGGGAUGCGGAGAAAUUGAAGAGGAGAACCUGGAGCAUAGAAUUCUAAGGCCUCCCACCAGCUCCUCUGGGAGGAUGCUCACUCUGCUUGAUGGUAACUCUGUACCCACCGCUUGUGAGCAUCAGGCUGCCCUUGACUGUAACCUCGGAUACCUAAGCCUGUCUAGUUACUUACCUAGGGUACGUAGCUAGAUU
rnacentral:lncRNA from 1 species